UAUUGCUAAUAAAUUAAAAUUCAUUGGAUGAAGAGUCCCUCCCCCACCAUGUUAACGGUGGGGCCUUGAACAACUUUGAUACGGUCAGUUUUCCAGACCCAUCCCGGAGGCACGGAGGGUGUGGUCUGGCUACGCGAGACUAACUGAUCUCGCCUCGCCGUUGUUGUUCAGUAUUAAUCUUGUUCUGAGGCUCUUGCUUUGAAGCAGCUACUUUUAAUAGAACUAUGGCCACUAAUCAAACCUGUUUAGAUAUUGGUGACUUGGAUUAUGUUCUUUGUUUAUUGGAGAAAUGUUGCUUCCCAGAAA